AACGAACGCUGGCGGCAGGCCUAACACAUGCAAGUCGAGCGCGCCCUUCGGGGUGAGCGUCGGACGGGAGAGUAACGCGUGGGAACGUGCCCUUCUCUGCGGAAUAGCCUCGUGAAACUGAGAGUAAUACCGCAUACGCCCUUUGGGGGAAAGAUUUAGCGGAAAAGGAUCGGCCCGCGUUGGAUAAGGUAGUUGGUGGGUUAAUGGCGCACGAAGCCGACGAUCCAUAGCUGGUUUGAGAGGAUGAUCAGCCACACUGGGACUGAGACACGGCCCAGACUCCUACGGGAGGCAGCAGUGGGGGAUCUUAGACAAUGGCGGCAACCCUGAUCUAGCCAUGCCGCGUGAGUGAUGAAGGCAUUAGGGUUGUAAAGCUAUUUCAGCUGGGAAGAUAAUGACGGUACCAGCAGAAGAAGCCACGGCUAACUCCGUG
rnacentral:rRNA from 1 species